rnacentral:rRNA from 1 species
CAUGCAAGUCGAGGGGUAACAUUGAAGCUUGCUUCAGAUGACGACCGGCGAACGGGUGCGUAACGCGUAUGCAACCUACCUUUCACAGGGGGAUAGCCAUUAGAAAUGAUGAUUAAUACCCCAUACGAUCUCUUAACAGCAUUGUUUAGAGAAGAAAACUCAGGUGGUGAAAGAUGGGCAUGCGUCCUAUUAGUUAGUUGGAGAGGUAACGGCUCACCAAGACAUCGAUAGGUAGGGGCCUUGAGAGGGGGGUCCCCCACACUGGUACUGAGACACGGACCAGACUUCUACGGGAGGCAGCAGUGAGGAAUAUUGGACAAUGGAGGAAACUCUGAUCCAGCCAUGCCGCGUGCAGGAUGACAGCUUUAUGAGUUGUAAACUGCUUUUAUACAGGAAGAAACCUCAGCACGUGUGCUGAGCUGACGGUACUGUAUGAAUAAGGAUCGGCUAACUCCGUGCCAGCAGCCGCGGUAAUACGGAGGAUCCAAGUGUUAUCCGGAAUUAUUGGGUUUAAAGGGUCCGUAGGCUGUUUGAUAAGUCAGGGGUGAAAUCCUACAGCUCAACUGUAGAACUGCCUUUGAUACUGUCAAACUUGAGUUAUUGUGAAGUAAUUAGAAUGUGUAGUGUAGCGGUGAAAUGCAUAGAUAUUACACGGAAUACCAAUUGCGAAGGCAGAUUACUAACAAUAUACUGACG